CUAGGCCGCCUCAUCUGCCAGCGAGGAAGCCGGGUGCGUCGAAUCCGGCGACCCCGUCCUCUCCGCAGGCGGAUCCGGCUGCCGGGA
rnacentral:pre_miRNA from 1 species